AUAAACAGGGCCAGGGUUGGCAGAAUGGUGCACGGAGUCGAGGGCUCUAACUUCUCCCCGUCCCACCUCCAAACAGGGCCUUUUUUCCUGGCAAGUUCAGGUCCUACAUGGUCAGAGCAGGUCCAGGUUCACAGCCAAUCCCUAUCUCCUUCCCUCUUAGGUAACAGAGAAGAGAGGCCCAGUCUAGCCUUGGGUCCAAUGAGAAUGAAACCUUGAAGUGGCUUAUUUGGACCAGAGACUGGAGCCAGUUUCUACCCUGCCAAGAGGCAGGGAAAGGUUCCUUCUCCAGAGCUUGGAGAUGCCAGCCUUGCAGAUUCCCAAAGGUCUGUGGCUCUGUGUCCAGCCUCCUGCUCCAGAGCCCCAGGCAGAGUCCUGGAGACUAGACACAACCAGCCAAAGGCUCUGGGAGACCACAGGGGCUGGGUACGAAGCUCCUGGCCCAGAAGCUGUGGCAGAGAGCUGUGUAUUAGCUGCAUGGCCUCUAAGUGGCAGGAGCGAGAGGCCAGGAAGGAAGGGGUGGUCCGGAGCAAGGACUGCUGGACCAGGCUUGUGGCAACCACUCUGCCAGGCUCUUCCCGGGCCGUGCAGCUUAACUCUCUUCACACUCAUGAGGCAGGACUAUGUCCAACUUAAUAGAUAAUAAAUCUGAGUCUCAGAGAGGUCACACAACUUUCCCCAAAACACACGAUCUACAGACUCCAGAGCCUGUUCAGACACCGAGGCUGCUGGGAAGAGGCCCCUGCAGCUUUGUCAAGGGCCCCAGCUACCUGUGUGGAGCCUGUGGUCAAGCUCACGGCUAACAUCCAAGUUGUGCCUAUCAUAAGGAGUUACUGGACAGUUGAAUGUCAAGUGACUUCACCCCUUACCCUCACUCCACCCCUGUCUCCUACAGGGACCCCCACCCUUCUGCCCUUCUCACCCUAAACUGGCCACAUCCCAAACCCAUCGGAUAAUGGGUUUUACUAGUACGAAUGCAUUCCAAAGGGAGGGGGGUCCAGCCCAGUCGUAGCUACCACAGCUGCUAGAGGUUUGUCCCAACCUUUAGUGCUUUGGGCUUCUUUGUCUGCCUCCCACCAACAUUCCCUCUCCUUUCUGCAGCAGAUUCCCACGCCAUUGGAGCCUAGCAUAAGGAACAGUCCCCAGCUCGUCACAGCUUUGCUGCGCCCCCACACCUCAUCUCCCCUCUCCCUGACUGCCUCCUCCUCACCAGCGUGGGGAUUUGGCUGGAGUAGCUGGAGCUUUGAAUUUUAGAACAAAUCCAGAGAACCCAGUAGCCCAGGGGGACCUGGGAAGGGGCUAACAACACCGGAGGUCAUGUGACUGCCUUUGGCUUCUUAUUGCUCCUCAGGCUUUGCUUAGCACUGAAUUGGGGCCCCUGCCCUCCAGAGCCAAGGGGUAGGGGGUGGAGGGCAGCACAAUCACAAAUAAUACCACAUAAGAAACUCUAGAGCUGACCUAGGCAUACAGCCCCAUGUUUUGCUUGGCGAGCGAUCCACACCACGGAACAGGGACAUGCUGGCUGCUUAGUCCGCACUGAAGGGUGAAAUCGCCUUCAACUUCUCCGUGCCUCACAUGAUGAUCAGCCUGCACCAUCUCAACCUAUUCCAGGGUGGUUGGAGGACUAUGAAUCAAACAACAGAUGGGACAGUGCAGGGGCACCUCCUGGUCUCUAUGGUUACCAAGAGCAGCCUUGCCAGGGAGAACCUGGAGUGUAAACAGCAGGAACCGGAUCUGCGGCUGCCAUGUCUGGAAGGAGGCCUCACACAAGGGCAAGGGAGGAAAGGGUGGGGCCCCUGCAGGCUCCCCAGGCCAGAAGGAGGAACCUCUUUACCUGAAAACAAAUUUCCCAGGUGUGGAAAUCUCCCCGCACUUAUUCUUGGCACACAGCAUUUUGAACAGUCGUUCCCAGUUUACUUCGAAGAUGUCACUUUUAAAAUAUUUUUUCAAUUUCUCUAUUUUCAUCAUAGAGAAAGAGUCAACUAGAUGUGAAUGUGCCUUUCACAUGUGCUCGUUCCCCAUUUAAUAAGGAAGUUCUGUGAGAAGAAGCAGUUGCAGCCUCGAGAGAUGAAAUUCUGCCCUGGAAAAUAAGACGGGUGAACUGCUAAGUCCAGAAUGAAGACCAGACACCAGGAAGCCUGAAGCCAAAUGUCCUCCUCUCCAAGACCCCAGCUGCACCCAUGGGGCCAGCCAGCACCAGUCUGAGAAUCCCAGGGGGCCCUAACCCCACCUUGCAGAUGCACAGGUGCAGGGGCUGUGAGAGCCAGCAGUGCUGAGCAAGCCAAACCUUGGAGCAGCCAGAGGCAGGAGUGAUCAGGCAGGGGACAGCCAUCCAGAACAUUCUGGAAUCACCAUCUGAGGAGCAGAGGGGAGCUGUGUGUGCAGCCAGCCGUGGUCAGACAGAGGAAAUGCAGGGUCUGGCUGCUGGCCAUUCUUACCCUCGCUCCCACCAUCAGGAUCUCUGGCCCCAUCCUGACCCCUGGUGGCUGCCCAUGGGAUGAGGUGAGCAUUCUUCCCAAGCUCCUCCCUGCCCUGGUCCCAGCAUAGCAGGAAAAAUGAAUCCCCCACCCCACAGGUCCUGGCUAGGGUCCCCAGGAAGUACAAGUGUGUUUCCUAGGGGUUUUUCAGGAGGGUUUACUCCACUGUGGUCACCAGGUGCCUUCUCAAUGUAAGUCCAGAGACCAAUUAAACAAAUGUAUAUAAAGAAAGCCCUUUCACCUGCCAAGUUGGCAAAAGGUGUGUUAAAAAAGAGGUGUGUGUCUGUGUGAAUGUGUGUGUGUGUAACUAAAAGUUAAUGCAGGCCAGGGUGCAAUAAGACCAGCACUCUCAUGCACAAUUCGUGAGAGUACAAAUUUGUAUAACCCUUCUGCAAGUGAUCCGAGCAAAAUAAAUCCAAAAUCUUACUAAGCAUUCUAUCCUCUGACCCAGUAAUUCUGUUAGGAAUCCAGCUUCAAAAAAAUCAAUACUCAAAUAAUAUGAAACCCAAAAUUUGAAAUAAAUGGGAGAGGAAAAAACAAGAUAAGCCAAGCGUGAUCAUCACUGAGGCUGGAUGAUGAUUACAUGACAGUUCUUUAUUGUUUUGUUUUGUUUUGUUUUUGUCUGCUUUGCUAUAUGCUGUGAAUUUGCCAUGAUAUUUUUAGAAGAAAGCAUCAUAGAUGCAAAGAUUUGUAUAAAAGAUGUUAAUUUUUAAUAGCAAAAACUGUGCAAAUGGCAAAAAAAAAAAAAAGUGCUAUGCUGGGAUGGUUAAACAAAUUAUGCUGCAUCCAAAUAGUGGGAUAUUAUGCAGCCAUUAAAAAUGCAAGAGUGUUUUCAUGAUGUGGAAAAAUGCUUAUGUGAUGCAAAGCAAAUAAGUAGGAAUCAAAAUUGCAUAUGUAGUAUUUAACUGAGUAUGUUAAAUGAAAAGUGCAUAGGGGUGCCUGGGUGGCUCAGUUGGUUGAGUGUCUGACUCUUGGUUUUGGCUCAGGUCAUGAUCCCAAAAUUGUGACAUCAAGGCAUGUGGCAGGGUGGAGAAUGCUUAAGAUUCUCUCUGCCUCUGCUUCUGCCCCUCCCCAGUCACGCUGGCUCUCUCUCUAAAAAAAUAAAAAUAAAAAAUAAAAAGUGCAUAGAAGGAAACUAUCUGAAAAUACACUAACAUGUUUGUUAUACAGUGAGACUAGGGAUGAUUUCUAUUCUUGAUAUUGUCCCUUAUUUUCUUAAUUCUACAAUAAGCAUGUCUUUUAUAAAUAGGUCCCCAAAUUGCCUUUGUGGAAGUAUACCAACUUGGGGGUCUGAGAUACAUUCAGCUCCAAGGACUGCCAUGUAUUAGCCAUGCAACAUUGAGAAAUUCACAUCUGGGUCCCAGAUUUCUCACCUAUAAAACUGGCAUAACACCAACCUAUUUUUCAAGCACCAUUUACUGGGUCUUCACUAUGUCCUAGGCAGUAUGCUUGAGGGAGGUUCUGCAUAUACAAUCACACACACCAUUCAUACAUGGUCAUUUCAAUCCUUACAGUAAGCUCUGGAGUAGAUUAGGGCACUGCCAUCUUAAGAACUACACGAACUGUGGCUCAGGAAAAUUAGGGAAUGUGCUCAGUUUUACCCAUCUAAUAAACAGUACAGGUGGGAUUCAGACAUAGAUCUGACCAUCUUUGAAAGCCCUGUUCUCAGACCCUUCAGCCUGGUCUGCUUAUGGUUACAGUUCUUUUUUCUUUCUUUCUUUUUUAUAUA